UACACUACAGGAAACAGUAUU
rnacentral:misc_RNA from 1 species